AUACAACUUUUAGCAACGGAUCUCUUGGCUCUCGCAUCGAUGAAGAACGCAGCGAAAUGCGAUAAGUAAUGUGAAUUGCAGAAUUCAGUGAAUCAUCGAAUCUUUGAACGCACCUUGCGCUCCUUGGUAUUCCGAGGAGCAUGCCUGUUUGAGUGUC
rnacentral:rRNA from 1 species